rnacentral:rRNA from 1 species
AGAGUUUGAUCCUGGCUCAGAAUGAAUGUUGGCGGCGUGCUUAAUAUAUGCAAGUUGAGUGUGAAUUGGAGUAAUUUAUAGUAGAGUGGUGUAUGGGUGUGUAAUAUGUGGGUAAUUUGUCUAGGAGACCGGAAUAAUUUGCUGAAAGGCAAGUUAAUAUUGGAUAAGUUUAUGAAGUUUUUGGAUUUUGAAGGAAAAGGUGGUUUUUGUAUAUAAGUUAUUAUUUUUAGAUGAGUUUGUGGUUUAUUAGUUAGUUGGUGGGGUAAUGGUUUAUUAAGGUAAUGAUGGGUAGUUGGUUUGAGAGGAUGAUUAGUUAUAUUGGAAUUGAGAUAUGGUUUAGAUUUUUAUGGGAGGUAGUAGUGGGGAAUUUUGUAUAAUGGGUGAAAGUUUGAUGUAGUAAUGUUGUGUGUGUGAUGAAGGUUUUUGGAUUGUAAAGUAUUUUUGAUUGGGAAGAAAAUAGUUUGGUUAAUAUUUAAAUUUUUGAUUGUAUUGAGAGAAGAAGUAUUGGUUAAUUUUGUGUUAGUAGUUGUGGUAAUAUAGAGGGUGUAAGUGUUGUUUGGAAUUAUUGGGUGUAAAGUGUGUGUAGGUGGUUAGGUAAGUUGGGUGUGAAAGUUUUUAGUUUAAUUGAGGAAGUGUGUUUGAAAUUAUUUAGUUUGAGUAUUGGAGAGGGUGGUGGAAUUUUUUAAGUAGAGGUGAAAUUUGUAGAUAUGGGGAGGAAUAUUGGUGGUGAAGGUGGUUAUUUGGAUGGAUAUUGAUGUUGAGAUGUGAAAGUGUGGGUAGUAAAUAGGAUUAGAUAUUUUGGUAGUUUAUGUUGUAAAUGAUGAGAAUUAGGUGUUGUGGGUGUUGAUUUUUGUGGUGUUGUAGUUAAUGUAUUAAGUUUUUUGUUUGGGAAGUAUGGUUGUAAGGUUAAAAUUUAAAGGAAUUGAUAGGUGUUGUAUGGUUGUUGUUAGUUUGUGUUGUGAGAUGUUGGGUUAAGUUUUGUAAUGAGUGUAAUCCUCGCCUUUAGUUGUUUUGUAAGAAGAUUUUUAGAGGGAUUGUUGGUGUUAAAUUGGAGGAAGGUGGGGAUGAUGUUAAGUUUUUAUGGUUUUUAUGAUUAGGGUUAUAUAUGUGUUAUAAUGGUUGGUAUAAUGUGUUGUUAAUUUGUAAGAGGGAGUUAAUUGUAUAAAAUUGGUUUUAGUUUAGAUUGGAGUUUGUAAUUUGAUUCCAUGAAGGUGGAAUUGUUAGUAAUUGUAGAUUAGUAUGUUGUGGUGAAUAUGUUUUUGGGUAUAGGUAUUCCGGUAAAAACUGCAUCAAACCUUUGACCUAUCAUCGCUUCUGAAAGUUCUAAUGUGUAAUAAACUACCGUCUUUCCACUCUUAACGGCAGCUGCAGCAACAUUUACCAAU